CCCAAACUCCCAGGGCUCCCCGCCGACCCUCCGACCUGCUGAGGCCAGGGCCACCCGGAACUGCCCUUGCCCACCUGCUCCAGGAUGUGUGCCCACCACGUGGGGGAGGGGACGACUGAUAUCCUGGGUGACCUUCCAUGACCAGAUGUUCUGACAGAUGUUUCCACUGGGGAAAUAGAACAAGAAUCAUGGGAUCUUCAUGCUGUUUCUUACAACUGCGUCUAGAUUUCCCGGGAGCCCAAAACAGGGAGAGGAGGGCAGAAAUGGCCACCCCCCGCCCCAGUUCGGACCUCCCGGGGCCUCCACGCCCACCCAGCUCUGGAUGAAUUGAUGCACC